rnacentral:rRNA from 1 species
CCUACGGGAGGCAGCAGUGAGGAAUAUUGGUCAAUGGACGAGAGUCUGAACCAGCCAAGUAGCGUGAAGGAUGACUGCCCUAUGGGUUGUAAACUUCUUUUAUAAAGGAAUAAAACGAGGCACGUGUGCCUUUUUGCAUGUACUUUAUGAAUAAGGAUCGGCUAACUCCGUGCCAGCAGCCGCGGUAAUACGGAGGAUCCGAGCGUUAUCCGGCUUUAUUGGGUUUAAAGGGAGCGUAGAUGGGUUGUUAAGUCAGUUGUGAAAGUUUGCGGCUCAACCGUAAAAUUGCAAUUGAUACUGGCAGUCGUGAGGACAGUUGAGGUAGGCGGAAUUCGUGGUGUAGCGGUGAAAUGCUUAGAUAUCACGAAGAACCCCGAUUGCGAAGGCAGCUUACUAAACUGUGACUGACAUUGAUGCUCGAAAGUGUGGGUAUCAAACAGGAUUAGAUACCCCUGUAGUC